ACGCCCGACGUCGGCAGGUUCCAGGGCCAUCUCCAGCUCUGCUCGGUGGGGACGGGCAGAGGCACAAAAUAGCCGCCCGCUGGCUUCCUAGUCGCCGACCCUUCGCUCCUCCAGACGGACACCGAAGCUCCGGAUGUAUGAAAUGGCCCCGCGGCGCGACAAAGAAGGCAAGGGCCUCAGCGGCUGGAGGGACGGAGGGCGACUGCGGCGCCGGGCGCUCACCCUGCCCGCCAGCGGAACACGCCCCCGCGGCCCGGCGGCCCCUGGCUCCGGGCCAGCCCUCCGCAAGUGGCUUUCUCUUUCUUUUUUAAACUUUCCAGCCAAGGCGAGCAGGCCAAGUUUCCAGACGUCCCUUCCACCAGCUCGGGGGCCACCUGGAGCGGGCAGCCUCCAAAGCGAGCGCCGUCCAGUCGAGCCUGCGACCGCAGCGUCCGGAGAGGAACUCCCCGCAGCCCCAACGGUGCAGGCCGGUCCGCCGCUCCCGCGCAGCGCCCCCUCCACACUCACGCUUUCUGCAAAGGAAACUACAAAGGCAAAAAGAUCGCUCGCAAAGUUGUGACCUCCUGAAGCGUGAGCCUCUCACCUGCUCUGCCCCAGGCUCCCUGACCUGACUCACCUCCCUCCCCCAACAGUUCCCCUGUUUUGCACCUAGACAAUAAAUUUAGUUUAAUUUAGCUUCCGGUCUUUAAUUUUAGCAGGUCUCCUUUUUGCAUGCAAAUCAAUAUGGCAAUUACCAUCUAAAAGCUCGCCCAGCCCCGGGUCAAUGUAAAUUGAUCAUUGUCCGCCUUCCACAAAAUAACACCGGGAGUCUGUGGUGCAUAAUGAGAUUAUACUGGAAACUGUCUUUUAGAUCACAAAUUAUAUUUUAUGCUGUCAGGAUCUUCUCCAAGCGGACUUCCCGCUUGUCUAAUCACAGGGAGCCCAACCCCUGGAUGCUGGCUGGGGAGACAAGGCUCCAAAAAAAACACACAGCCCCCCCCAAAAAAUCCACACACCUCAACAAAGUGAGGACCCCGGCUUUUGAGACCCUGUACUCGGGCCACUUGGAGAUGUGCUUGUUCCCCGAGAGAGGGCCCUUCGAUAGAAAGAUCGCACAACAGCAGCGUUAAUGAUGAACUCCUACCCCCCAAAGUCAGAUAUCCCUUCCUGUGGUGUAGAAAGCAAUUAGAGAAAACUGUAGGGGGCUGGACAUCAGCACCCCCCCCCCCAGCCGAUAAAUGCCGGCUUGGCCACCACGAGGAUAGAGAAUGCCAGUCACUCCAGCACUUUGCCUUCUCUUGACUCCACUACCUAGGCCCUCACCGGGGUGGCUAGCUUUACAAACAGACGGUAAGCCCUCUGCCACAAAUACUGGCAAAGAACCCGGGCGGGGCGGUGGCUCCCCGAAGCCUCCCUACCCCAGUCUGGGCGAGACCCUCACCAGACCUGAUCCUUGAGACUGGCAGACCAGGCUGCGAUGCAAAGAGUAGGACUUCUCCC